rnacentral:rRNA from 1 species
GUGAAAUUGUUGAAAGGGAAACGCUUGAAGUCAGUCGUGCCGGUGGAAACUCAGCGAGCUUUUUCGCGAAAGCUUGUGAAAUUUUUCGCAUGGCAGGUCAGCGUCAGUUUCGCGAGUGGUAAAAGGGUUCUGGUAAGGUAGCUCUCCUCGGAGAGUGUUAUAGACCGGAGCAGAUGCGACUUGCGAGACUGAGGAUUGCAGCAGACACCCUUCGUGGAGCGGCGCGCGAUCUCUGUCCGGCUCCCCGUGCUCAACAGCAUGCUGAGUGGGCGUGGGGACGCUUUGAACACCAGGUUGCGAAUAGCCAGCGGUUUGCUAAGGACGUUGACGUAAUGGCUUUAAACGAC